CUAUUUGACAAGAACAACGACUAUAUGCAGUAUAUACAUUUGGGGUCACAAGUUUACUUGCACAUGUAAAGAACAUUUAUAUCAUUUUGGCAGUCUUGAGUUCCAAGGAUUUGUACAACUCUUAAUCUUCUGUGAUGGAAUGAGUACAACACACACUUCUUUGUCACAAAAAAACAUGUGUGAGGUUUGGUUCAAUGAUGAAUUUAUUAUUGACUCAGACACAAUCACUACAAUGGGAAAGUCUAAGGAGCUCAUUGAAUGGAAAAAGUCAGGAAAGUCACUGGGAGCCAUUUCAAAGCAGUAAAAGGUUCCAAGAUCAGCUGUGCAAAUGACUGUUGUGCCAGGCAAUCAACAACAGAGGGGACAAAGCACACUCCCCGAACAGACCUGCACUUCUUCCCAAUCAAGCUCCGAGCAGUUCAGCUCUUCAACAGCUUCAAGCUAGCAACGUGGAUUUAUCAGGUUGAGGAGUUGCUUCCUGAGAGGGUGCGAUGGCGAAGUCUCCUGUCAUGGGAAAACACGUGGAGCCUCACAUACCUGGGAUGAAUUACAUCGAAGCACUUGCUCAGAUUUAAUAAAGGAAUUUUUUAAAAAACCAA